CUGUGAGCUCGAUGAGUAGGGCGGGACACGUGGUAUCCUGUCUGAAUAUGGGGGGACCAUCCUCCAAGGCUAAAUACUCCUGACUGACCGAUAGUGAACCAGUACCGUGAGGGAAAGGCGAAAAGAACCCCGGCGAGGGGAGUGAAAAAGAACCUGAAACCGUGUACGUACAAGCAGUGGGAGCACGCUUAGGCGUGUGACUGCGUACCUUUUGUAUAAUGGGUCAGCGACUUAUAUUCUGUAGCAAGGUUAACCGAAUAGGGGAGCCGAAGGGAAACCGAGUCUUAACUGGGCGUUAAGUUGCAGGGUAUAGACCCGAAACCCGGUGAUCUAGCCAUGGGCAGGUUGAAGGUUGGGUAACACUAACUGGAGGACCGAACCGACUAAUGUUGAAAAAUUAGCGGAUGACUUGUGGCUGGGGGUGAAAGGCCAAUCAAACCGGGAGAUAGCUGGUUCUCCCCGAAAGCUAUUUAGGUAGCGCCUCGUGAAUUCAUCUCCGGGGGUAGAGCACUGUUUCGGCAAGGGGGUCAUCCCGACUUACCAACCCGAUGCAAACUGCGAAUACCGGAGAAUGUUAUCACGGGAGACACACGGCGGGUGCUAACGUCCGUCGUGAAGAGGGAAACAACCCAGACCGCCAGCUAAGGUCCCAAAGUCAUGGUUAAGUGGGAAACGAUGUGGGAAGGCCCAGACAGCCAGGAUGUUGGCUUAGAAGCAGCCAUCAUUUAAAGAAAGCGUAAUAGCUCACUGGUCGAGUCGGCCUGCGCGGAAGAUGUAACGGGGCUAAACCAUGCACCGAAGCUGCGGCAGCGACGCUUAUGCGUUGUUGGGUAGGGGAGCGUUCUGUAAGCCUGCGAAGGUGUGCUGUGAGGCAUGCUGGAGGUAUCAGAAGUGCGAAUGCUGACAUAAGUAACGAUAAAGCGGGUGAAAAGCCCGCUCGCCGGAAGACCAAGGGUUCCUGUCCAACGUUAAUCGGGGCAGGGUGAGUCGACCCCUAAGGCGAGGCCGAAAGGCGUAGUCGAUGGGAAACAGGUUAAUAUUCCUGUACUUGGUGUUACUGCGAAGGGGGGACGGAGAAGGCUAUGUUGGCCGGGCGACGGUUGUCCCGGUUUAAGCGUGUAGGCUGGUUUUCCAGGCAAAUCCGGAAAACUAAGGCUGAGGCGUGAUGACGAGGCACUACGGUGCUGAAGCAACAAAUGCCCUGCUUCCAGGAAAAGCCUCUAAGCAUCAGGUAACAUCAAAUCGUACCCCAAACCGACACAGGUGGUCAGGUAGAGAAUACCAAGGCGCUUGAGAGAACUCGGGUGAAGGAACUAGGCAAAAUGGUGCCGUAACUUCGGGAGAAGGCACGCUGAUAUGUAGGUGAAGUCCCUCGCGGAUGGAGCUGAAAUCAGUCGAAGAUACCAGCUGGCUGCAACUGUUUAUUAAAAACACAGCACUGUGCAAACACGAAAGUGGACGUAUACGGUGUGACGCCUGCCCGGUGCCGGAAGGUUAAUUGAUGGGGUCAGCGCAAGCGAAGCUCUUGAUCGAAGCCCCGGUAAACGGCGGCCGUAACUAUAACGGUCCUAAGGUAGCGAAAUUCCUUGUCGGGUAAGUUCCGACCUGCACGAAUGGCGUAAUGAUGGCCAGGCUGUCUCCACCCGAGACUCAGUGAAAUUGAACUCGCUGUGAAGAUGCAGUGUACCCGCGGCAAGACGGAAAGACCCCGUGAACCUUUACUAUAGCUUGACACUGAACAUUGAGCCUUGAUGUGUAGGAUAGGUGGGAGGCUUUGAAGUGUGGACGCCAGUCUGCAUGGAGCCGACCUUGAAAUACCACCCUUUAAUGUUUGAUGUUCUAACGUUGACCCGUGAUCCGGGUUGCGGACAGUGUCUGGUGGGUAGUUUGACUGGGGCGGUCUCCUCCUAAAGAGUAACGGAGGAGCACGAAGGUUGGCUAAUCCUGGUCGGACAUCAGGAGGUUAGUGCAAUGGCAUAAGCCAGCUUGACUGCGAGCGUGACGGCGCGAGCAGGUGCGAAAGCAGGUCAUAGUGAUCCGGUGGUUCUGAAUGGAAGGGCCAUCGCUCAACGGAUAAAAGGUACUCCGGGGAUAACAGGCUGAUACCGCCCAAGAGUUCAUAUCGACGGCGGUGUUUGGCACCUCGAUGUCGGCUCAUCACAUCCUGGGGCUGAAGUAGGUCCCAAGGGUAUGGCUGUUCGCCAUUUAAAGUGGUACGCGAGCUGGGUUUAGAACGUCGUGAGACAGUUCGGUCCCUAUCUGCCGUGGGCGCUGGAGAACUGAGGGGGGCUGCUCCUAGUACGAGAGGACCGGAGUGGACGCAUCACUGGUGUUCGGGUUGUCAUGCCAAUGGCACUGCCCGGUAGCUAAAUGCGGAAGAGAUAAGUGCUGAAAGCAUCUAAGCACGAAACUUGCCCCGAGAUGAGUUCUCCCUGACUCCUUGAGAGUCCUGAAGGAACGUUGAAGACGACGACGUUGAUAGGCCGG
rnacentral:rRNA from 1 species